rnacentral:rRNA from 1 species
UACGGGGGGAGCAAGCGUUGUUCGGAUUUACUGGGCGUAAAGGGCGCGUAGGCGGUCAGCACAAGUCAGUUGUGAAAUCUCCGGGCUUAACCCGGAAAGGUCAACUGAUACUGUGCGACUAGAGUGCGGAAGGGGCAAGCUGGAAUUCUCGGUGUAGCGGUGAAAUGCGUAGAUAUCGAGAGGAACACCUGCGGCGAAGGCGGGUGCUGGGCCGACACUGACGCUGAUGCGCGAAAGCCAGGGGAGGCGAACGGG